rnacentral:rRNA from 1 species
UCGGGAAUAUUGCGCAAUGGAGGAAACUCUGACGCAGUGACGCCGCGUGCAGGAAGAAGGUUUUCGGAUUGUAAACUGCUUUAGACAGGGAAGAUAUAAGACAGUACCUGUAGAAUAAGCUCCGGCUAACUACGUGCCGGCAGCCGCGGUAAUACGUAGGGAGCAAGCGUUAUCCGGAUUUAUUGGGUGUAAAGGGUGCGUAGACGGGAAGGCAAGUUGGUUGUGAAAUCCCUCGGCUUAACUGAGGAACUGCAACCAAAACUAUCUUUCUUGAGUGCUGGAGAGGAAAGUGGAAUUCCUAGUGUAGCGGUGAAAUGCGUAGAUAUUAGGAGGAACACCGGUGGCGAAGGCGACUUUCUGGACAGUAACUGACGUUGAGGCACGAAAGUGUGGGGAGCAAACAGGAUUAGAUACC